rnacentral:rRNA from 1 species
GAUGAACGCUGGCGGCGUGCCUAAUACAUGCCAGUCGAGCGAACAGACGAGGAGCUUGCUCCUCUGACGUUAGCGGCGGACGGGUGAGUAACACGUGGAUAACCUACCUAUAAGACUGGGAUAACUUCGGGAAACCGGAGCUAAUACCGGAUAACAUGUUGAACCGCAUGGUUCAACAGUGAAAGACGGUCUUGCUGUCACUUAUAGAUGGAUCCGCGCCGCAUUAGCUAGUUGGUAAGGUAACGGCUUACCAAGGCAACGAUGCGUAGCCGACCUGAGAGCGAGAUCGGCCACACGGGAACUGAGACACGGUCCAGACUCCUACGGGAGGCAGCAGUAGGGACUCUUCCGCAAUGGGCGAAAGCCUGACGGAGCAACGCCGCGUGAGUGAAGAAGGUCUUCGGAUCGUAAAACUCUGUUAUUAGGGAAGAACAAAUGUGUAAGUAACUAUGCACGUCUUGACGGUACCUAAUCAGAAAGCCACGGCUAACUACGUG